rnacentral:other from 1 species
GAGCAUGGGGCGUGCUGGUUUAAAAACGGAAAAUGCAAAGUUGGACUGAAAAUAUCCUCAGUCUUCCGAGCAAUCUGCUGAACGGUUCCAAACUUACCUUAGUGUGGUGAGGCGGGGAGCUGCCCCACUUUCC